CUGACUGUGAGGAGUAAAUGAGACAGUGCAGAAAGAGGACAGAACCCCAUGAACCCAGCUGUGAGGCUCUGUCACCUUCUCCAGCCACGCCUCCCUAAGGAGCCCUGCUCUUCUGUGCACAUCAGCGAACACCAGCACCACGGCUGGUCCCUCAGGGCAGGGCAUGGAGGCCUCGCCUGCCUCUCCUCACAGGUCUUGGCUCACUGGUAGUAAUGUAAGGAGCCACAAAGAACAGGGUGACCAAGUCAUCCUCGUGGCCUGGGACUUCUCUGGUUUCAGCGCUGGAAGUGCCUCAUACCAAGAAUGCACUCGGUCCCUGCCAACUGGAAAUGAUCUUCCACAAGAAUGAACAAGAGAUGCUCUCAUUUAAAAGAAAAGAAACAGAAAAGGUUAUCAGCUAGUAGAGAGGAAAUUCUGCUCUUAACAUAAUGUAGCUUAAAAGAAAAUGCUGCAUUUUGUCAAAGAGUCAGCGAUGAGCCUCUUAUCACAUAUUUGCUCAUAAAGGCAGAAAGGAAGAAUGCUAGCAUGCCAGUGUCCCAUCGUUAACGGGUGGAGGAGAAGAGCAGGCGGAGGAGGAGAACGAUUUCUAUGGGAUUCUCAAAGUAAAUGGGCAAUUUUCAUGCACAUGGAGAAUCUACUUCUGCAGACUGAGUUCAGGCCAGACCUGCUCUGUCAAAGCCCGACAGAGAGACCCGAGAUGGUGAGGGCGGGAGAGGGACAGCGGAGGACCGUGCUAUGGCUUGAGUGUGUUUCCCAAAGUUCCUUGUGUUGGAAACGUAAUCCCUCAUGCAACAGUGUGGAGAUGUGUGAUCUUUCAGUGAUUAAUGGAUGAAUGUGAAAUGAAUUCAUGUCAUUAUGGUGGGAGUGGGUCUACUAUAAAAACAAAGUAAGCCCCUUCUUACCCUCUCUCACGCACUCUCUCACCAUGUGAUGCCCUAUGCCACAUUAUGACACAGCAAAAAGGCCCUCACCUAGUGCAGCCCCUCAGUCUUGGACUCCCCAGCCUCCAGAACCAUGAACCGAAUAAACCUCUAUUGUGGAUAAAUUACUCAGCCUACAAUGUUCUGUUUCAGCCACAGAAAAUGGCUGAAACAUUUGGGAUUCUGGAAGGGACAGGCAGAGCGAAUGAGAGCUGUGGAAAUGAUAACCCCUCCAUGGGUCCAGACUUCACUGUCUAAAAGGUCACUCUAGACCCCCAGCUCAGGGUGAUGCCUGCUGCCUUUGAUCAGCCAGGCACCAAGCCCUCAUUGUCUCAGCCACAAAGGAGGAAGAAAGAGCACCUGGGACGUGACAGGAAGGUCUCCCCUGUGGCCAUAAGAGCAACUCUCCAUGAAGUGCAUGAACCAGCCCAGUGGGCCCACCUUCCACGCGCACCCAGGAAGAAGAAUUCACAUGAUCAUCAUGAAAUAACAUGGGUCAUAACUCAUGAUCAUGGAGCCCUUCCUGUGGGCCGGAUGCCGAGCUGGGUUCUUUCAGGCACUCUCU
rnacentral:lncRNA from 1 species